rnacentral:lncRNA from 1 species
CUUAUUGUUUUUUGUUCACGUCUAAUACUAAACAAGUAUGUACAUCUAGUCUUUUGGCUUUUGAUGACUUCUAGCAAUGUAAUAAAUAUCUACAGCUUCUGAGGAAUAAAAAUCAAAGAGUUGAUUCACAGUAAAUUCUACACCUGAAACUAAUAUUACACUGUAUGUUAACUAACUGGAAUUUAAACGAAAAUCUGGAGGAAAAAAAAAGUUGAUUCAGAAAUAGCCCUAUGACCACUAAAAAUCACUUUCUUUUUCUGAAUUCAGUUUCCUUUUCCUAUAAAGUGAAGGGGAUUAGACCAAGUGAUUGGAAAGAACUUUCCACUGCCUACUUUCUGUGAUUGGGCAAAUGUUCCCCGGGUGUAUAUUGGCUUCAAGGGCUAUGCCAUUUUUCUGGGAUUUAGGAGGCCUUAGGAAACACUGACUGUGCCAGCUGGCUCCCAGUUGUCCUUCAGCUGUCCCAGGACCCACCUUUCUAAAAACAGGUGUUCAGGUCAGCAGGCAGCUUUUCUCUGUGCAUUGAUUCAGGAAUCAAAGUUCCUCCCAUUCUGUGGCUUCCCCGUGGUCUUGUUAUCAUCUGCAUUCAGCCAGGAAAAAAGAGAAUGGAGGAAGAAUUGCUGUUCUCCAAAAAAGCUCCAGUCCCGAAGUGGCAAUCACUCUUAUUCAUCAGGUAACUCACUAUAAUGUCAUUACUAUGGAAUAAGGAAAGAAUGAAUUUUGCAGGCAGCCAAUGAUCUUGC